GGUUUUCCUAGCCCAGGAAUAAGGACGGAUCCAAAAGAAGACCACAAGUCCAAAGCCUGUCAGACCAUAUGCUCGAAAGACAGCCCGAUUUCACAAGCCCAGAACAGCAACGCAGGGCAAUUCAGAUCAGAUACGAGCACAGGCCCAAUAGGGAAGCAGGCCCAGUCACUCACCAACCCUGUUCGCACGCGUGACAGGGAGAAUUAAAUGGCCGCUUGGCGUGGAGAAGGGGUUUGACACGUCCGUACGUACGGGCCUGAGUGACAUGGACAGGUAGCACUAUAGACUAGGGGUCUUCUCUCUUUUUAGGGCUCUCUCUUCUGGAGGCUCAGGGGGCUUCUUCUUCCUUAUCCUUCCUGGACUCCAUUUUUAUUUUCUCUCUGCAA
rnacentral:lncRNA from 1 species